rnacentral:rRNA from 1 species
UACGGGGGGAGCAAGCGUUGUUCGGAUUUACUGGGCGUAAAGGGCGCGUAGGCGGUCGUGACAAGUCACUUGUGAAAUCUCCGGGCUUAACUCGGAACGGUCAAGUGAUACUGUCGGACUAGAGUACAGAAGGGGCAACUGGAAUUCUCGGUGUAGCGGUGAAAUGCGUAGAUAUCGUAAGGAAGACCAGUGGCGAAGGCGAGUUUCUGGACGGUAACUGACGCUGAGGCACGAAGGCCAGGGGAGCAAACGGG